rnacentral:lncRNA from 1 species
UAGUGCUCAGGGGAUAUAAAAAUAAUGCAUUGUAUGCCGGAAGGGAUAAAUCUGGGGCUGAGUACAAGCAAAACAAGACCAAAGGAAGCUACCUGAGCAGGUAUUCCAGAUACUCAUGUCAUACACCAAGGUUGUACCAGUGCCCCUUUCUCUGUGACACAUCCAUCCACUGGAAACUUUCGUACAACUAGCUGAAAGAAGAGAAACAUCCUAUUUCAUGUCACUGGAGCCCUAAUGAUCGCAGCCAUUUCAGGAAAUGCCAUCAAUUACAGUGAGGAGCUCAUUCAGAAGUGAAAGAUGAGUUCCAUUCUCUGUUACUUAGAGGGUGGAUAUCCUCCUCCACUGAAUGCAAACUAUUAAGUAAUGAAAAGACAGCACUCCAAGCAAUAUAGAUUUAUAGGCCAACCUGGCAAUCAAGGGUAACUGACAUGAAAAUGGAUUGCUUCACAUUUUAAUUACAAAGAUACUCUUCAGUACCAUAAAUUGAAGAAAACACUAACUUUUUGUGGCUACUGUAAUUGUCAAAGUAUAAUUACCUGUGUUUUCUCACCUACGUAUUUGAGAUAGAGACAAAACCAAUUUUACGGCCCCUACAUUUUGAGAACCCAACUGCAUCUGAGAACCAAACUUCUUGGAAAUUCUAAAGGGCAUGCCAUAGGCAGCCUAGCUACUUUAACAGAGCAUUUCAAUCAGUUUUUCUCCACGGUUUGGCCAAAUAAUUAGUAUGUUUCCUGGCAACACAUUGAGAAAGAAAGCUGGUAUAGAAUCUUCCUAACAAUGGACCAAGAUGAGAGAAGAAGCCAGUCAUAUCCAUUUCUCAACCUUCGGUCUUCUUGCAUAUGGGGGAAAGCAUGGGGACAAUUGUCUCUACUAUCAGUACGUAAUGUUUCUGGACCUCAGACAUUGGUCAGUUCCCCAAUUGACCGCUCUAGGUGAAGAGUCUGUAUCACCCUCUAUGCUGCCUCCAUUACAGAUAAAAAGGGGAUCUUGGACCCAUAGCAAUGAAUUAGUGGUGUGAAAGAUGUCACUUGGAGCUGCCUAAAGUGAUCGUAGAC